rnacentral:rRNA from 1 species
AUACGUAGGUGACAAGCGUUAUCCGGAUUUACUGGGCGUAAAGGGCGUGUAGGCGGUCUUGCAAGUCAGAAGUGAAAUUCCUGAGCUCAACUCGGGCGCUGCUUCUGAAACUGCAGGACUUGAGUGCUGGAGGGGAUAGCGGAAUUCCUAGUGGAGCGGUAAAAUGCGCAGAUAUUAGGAAGAACACCGGUGGCGAAGGCGGCUAUCUGGAGAGUAACUGACGCUGAGGCGCGAAAGCGUGGGGAGCAAACAGGAUUAGAUACCCUGGUAGUCCACGCUGUAAACGAUGAAUACUAGGUGUAGGGGGUAUCGACUCCCUCAGUGCCGCAGUUAACACAAUAAGUAUUCCGCCUGGGGAGUACGGCCGCAAGGUUGAAACUCAAAUGAAUUGACGGGG